rnacentral:rRNA from 1 species
UACGUAGGGUGCAAGCGUUUGUCCGGAAUUAUUGGGCGUAAAGAGCUCGUAGGCGGUUUGUCGCGUCUGCUGUGAAAUCCCGAGGCUCAACCUCGGGCUUGCAGUGGGUACGGGCAGACUAGAGUGCGGUAGGGGAGAUUGGAAUUCCUGGUGUAGCGGUGGAAUGCGCAGAUCUCAGGAGGAACACCGAUGGCGAAGGCAGAUCUCUGGGCCGUAACUGACACUGAGGAGCGAAAGCGUGGGGAGCGAACCGG